CUAUCACUAAAGGGAACGCUCCUUUACGAAACCUCUGUACGCCGAAGGUGGGUUUGUUGGGGCGGAGCAAUGAGGAUUUAAAGGCCCUGAAUAACGAGGAGAUAAGACGGUGCUCCCAGACUGGCGACCUGUCCAGGGUGUACCCUGCCUCUGCCCCGAAGACUGUUGGACAUAGGCACCAAAUCCUCUGCAAGGAUAAGCAGGUAUAGAAGAUGGGUUUAAGUUUUUUAAUGGGUCCAGUAUGCAUAUCUGGUUUCUGUAAACCUUUGACUUUAUUCCUUAGGAUAACCAGCUCUUUGGACAGGUUUAUUAUUCCUAAAUACUUGAUCAAAGUAAAUAAUAGCAAGCAAAUCAUGUUUAAGUUGGCACAGAGAAGUUACCAACUGCAGGAUAUGACAAUAACUCUUUACAGUGCAAACAAAGCCAAUUUCCCAAGUUAGUUCAUGUUUAAUGUGUUAGGUGUGAAACACAAUGUUCACUGUUAAGUAUAAGAAAGGACUGUCAUGCUGCAGGCCUGCUUUUCCUCCAAAGCCCUGGGAACCUCAUUAGACUACAGGGGAUCAUAGGCGCUAUGAAACACCAGAUUUAACAUAAGUCUUUUCUGCCAGAAAACACAAAAUAGGUCACCAUAUGGCUUUUCAGCAGGAUAGGGAUCCAAAACAUAGGGUUAAAAAACCCAGAAGGACCCAAAAAUAUAUCUUCUUCCCUAACCAUCCUAGUCCCCAGGCCUAAAUUUGGCAGAAAACCUUUGGGUGAGCUUAGGAAUAGGGGACCCAGAAGAACAAUAAUGAAAGAUUUCUCCCUCUAUAUGCACCAACCUUGUAAAAUGUUCAAAUAAAAGACUAAAGGGCUGUCCUACUGGCAAAAGGGGUGGAUUUACUUUUCUUAAACUUUAUUUAUUAAUACACAUUCACUGAAGAAAAGAAAUACAAAAUAUUUCAUCCAAGACAGACCUAAGACUAAAUUGUCAGGACUUCUUUAGUUACAUGACAGACUUUGCGCUGAAACAGAAGUAGGAAAAAUACAGUAAACUUGCAAUGUAUACCUAAAUAGAAAAAGUCAAUUUCUCUGACUUAGAGCAAUGUGGGCUUUUUUUCUGUUUUAUCCAGAAAACCACAGUUUUAUAAUCACAUUCAGAAUGAUUAAAGCAAAAGGCCUCUAAUGAGGUCCUACGUAUAAUUAAGCUGUCCAGUAAUUAACGACGUACAAAAGAUUUCAACUCUAAGUACGCACAGUAACAAAAAAAAAAAAAAAAGAAUGUGCUGCAAAUAAACUGAUGAAACUCCACAAAAAGUGUAAUUAUUUGCUUAUUAAAA